rnacentral:rRNA from 1 species
UACGAAGGGGGCUAGCGUUGCUCGGAAUCACUGGGCGUAAAGCGCACGUAGGCGGCCAACUAAGUCGGAUGUGAAAUCCCCAGGCUCAACCUGGGAACUGCAUCCGAUACUGGAUGGCUUGAAUUCGGGAGAGGGAUGCAGAAUUCCAGGUGUAGCGGUGAAAUGCGUAGAUAUCUGGAGGAAUACCGGUGGCGAAGGCGGCAUCCUGGACCGACAUUGACGCUGAGGAGCGAAAGCCAGGGGGAGCAAACGGG